CGAUGGUGCGGCGGAAGGAGGGAAGCGGGCUCUGCCGACUAUUAGCCCAGUCGCCCGAGAGGGGGAUCACGAUGGAGGAGGUAUUGUUCAUGUACACUAGGAGUUUGUGAUUUUGAUGAAAAGCCGUGAACUGAACUGAAACAAAGCCUUGUGAAAGCGGUGUCAAAUCUCUUCUCUGGAAAUGUUGUCCAUCUUUGGUGCAGAGAGAGAUAAACAAAGGGUGCUCGCAGCCAGCCAGACUUUGUAUGAUUUCAUAUACAUAUAUGUCUCUUCCACUAAUACAAUAUUUCGAAUCCUCAAUCAGCACCUUGGCACCAGCUUCCCCAUCAUUACAGUGAGGGAAAACCUCAGCAUUAAGGAGAACCUUCAGCUCCUGAUCAGUACUCUGAAAGAGAUGCAGGCUGUUGUGGAAAUGAAAGACAAAGAUGUGCAGCAGAGCAUCAGCCACCGUUUAUAUGCUAAGAUGGUUGGGCCCAUCACUUCUCUGCAGGAGAAGAUUACUGUUGUGAAGGACCUUUAUGAAAAUUAUAAGGGAAUCCUAGGAAGUAUCGGUGGUCCGGUCGCUGCCGUGCUACUGAAACACAGCAAUCUCCCUGAGACUGUAGAGUCUGCCGUUCAUCAUCUAAUGACUUCCCCUGCCCUGUCCCUCCAAGUGGCUGACCUUCUCAUGAGCCACAAUGAAAUUGUCAAAAUACUCCCAACUGUCACUGAGAACAGCCCUUCUGGGAGUAGGAUUCAAGAAUCUAGACCUCGCGGUCCAUCAACUGCCUUCUCAUUUUCCAAUUUCUUGCAGGCUGUGCUUUGGGGAAAGGCUUCUACAAACACUCUGAAAAUAGCUGCAGACUAUCUGGAGGAGGCUGUCAGAGUGCUGAGACCAUCUUGUGAAUCUUUCCAGUGCAUUGUUAAACUGGCUGAGGUCUAUAUCUCACUGAUAACAGACAAGUUGCAGUGAUCCAUUUUUAGAAAUAUGCUUCUGUUCCUUCUUUUCUUACAACAAGGGAUGUUGCACAAAGAAACAAGAGAAAGUUGCGGCUAAUUUCUGAUUCCACAAUAAUUUCUGCAAUCACUUUUAGUGUCUAGAUUUGAGCAUUGCACUAAGGCAUCAAGGUGAAGUCUUCUUGCUUUGUUAAUUUAAAAACUUGAUCAAUAAAAAUCAACAGGAAACUAAUGUAAACAGGAAAAAAGUCUAAGAAUCAAAAUGCUGAAACAGUAUCUGUUUUAGCAAGUGUGUUUAAACUUUCUGGGCAAGCUUUUUAGAUUAUUCUGAUAGCAACAAUUCAUUUUGACAGGUCAGGUUAUAGUGGCUAUCUAACAGGAAUUAGCUCAUUCAAAAUAAGCUAUGAUAGUACUGGUCACUGGGAGGUUAACCAUCAUGGUUGGAUUUUCAUCUGACGACCAACUGGGAAUAGUAAAUCACUGUGAUUUGAGAUGAGAAGUAACUAGAUAAUCUGUGGUAGAGUGAAAAAUAAUCUUUGUCUACACUAUGAAAUUAGGUCGAAUUUAUAGAAGUCGGUUUUGUAGAAAGCGGUUUUAUACAGUCGAUUGUGUGUGUCCCCACACAAAUGCUCUAAGUGCAUGUAGUCAGCGGAGUGUGUCCACAGUACCGAGGCAACCAUCGACUUCCAGAGCGUUGCACUGUGGGUAGCUAUCCCACAGUUCUCGCAGUCUCCACUGCCCAUUUGAAUUCUGGGUAGAAAUCCCAGUGCCUGAUGGGGCUAAAACAUUGUCGCGGGUGGUUCUGGGUACAUAUCGUCAGGCCCCCCUUCCCUUCCUCCUUCCGUGAAAGCAAAGACAGACAAUCCUUUUGCACCUUUUUUCUUGAGUUACCUGUGCAGACGCCAUACCAAAGCAAGCAUGGAGCUCGCUCAGCUCACCGUCACCGUAUGUCUCCUGGGUGCUGGCAGACGUGGUACUGCAUUGCUACACAGCAGCAGUUAAUUGCCUUUUGGCAGCAGACAGUGCAGUAUGACUGGUAGACGUCGUCGACGUAGUCCAGGGUGCUCUUUUAACUGACCUCGAUGAGGUCAGGGGUGCCUGGGCAAACGUGGGAGUGACUUAGCUAGGUCAUUUCCCUUUUAAGUUUCGUCUCAUGGCGAUUCAGUUCUACUGGCAGUGCACUGUCUUUUAAUCAGCAGCCAGCAGAAGACGAUGGCCAGCAGUCAUACUGCACUGUCUUCUGCCGAGCACCCAGGAGAUGAUGAUGGCCAGCAGUCGUACUGCACCGUCUGCUGCCAGCAAGAUGUAUAAAGAUAGAUGAAGUGGAUCAAAACAAGAAAUAGACCAGAUUUGUUUUGUAUUCAUUUUCUCCUCCCUCCCUCCAUGAAAUCAAUGGCCUGCUAAACCCAGUUUUGAGUUCUAUCCUUGAGGUUUUGAGUUCUAUCCUUGAGGGGGCCAUUCUGUUUCUCGCAAAGCCACCCCCUUUGUUGAUUUUAAUUCCUUGUAGGCCAACCCUGUAAGCCAUGUUGUCAGUUGCCCAUCCCUCCACCAGAGCAAUGGCAAACAAUUGUUUCGUGCCCUUUUCCCUGGAUUGCCCAAGCAGGAGCAGAUGCCAUCGUACAGCAAGCAUGGAGCCCGUUCAGCUCACUCCAGCAGUUAUGACCAUUGUAAACACCUUGCGCAUUAUCGUGUAUGUGUAUGCAGAACCACCACCUGAAAAACCAGGCGAGGAGGCGAUGGCAGCGCGGUGAUGAGGACAUGAACACACUUUUCUCUAAAACCGCGUUCCCCCGCAAUUUGGAGAUCAUGGUGUUAAUGGGGCAGGCUCAUGCCGUGGAACGCCGAUUCUGGGCCCAGGAAACAAGCACAGAGUGGUGGGACCGUAUAGUGUUGCUGGUCUGGGAUGAUUCCCAGUGGCUCCGAAACUUUCGCAUGUGUAAGGGCACUUUCAUGAAACUUUGUGACUUGCUUUCCCCUGCCCUGAAGCACAAGAAUACCAAGAUGAGAGCAGCCCUUACAGUUCACAAACAAGUGGCAAUAGCUCUGUGGAAGCUUGCAACGCCAGACAGCUACCGGUCAGUCGGUAAUCAAUUUGAAGUGGGCAAAUCUACUGUGGGGGUUGCUGUGAUGCAAGUAGCCAGUGCAAUCAUUGAGCUGCUGCUAUCAAAGGUAGUGACUCUGGGAAAUGUGCAGGUCAUAUUAGAUGGCUUUGCUGCAAUGGGAUUCCCUAACUGUGGUGGGGCUAUUGACGGAAUGCAUAUCCCUAUCUUGGGACCGGAUCACCAGGGCAGGCAGUACAUAAACUGCAAGGGGUACUUUUCAGUGGUGCUGCAAGCACUGGUGGAUCACAAGGGACGUUUCACCAACAUCAACGUGGGAUGACCAGGAAAGGUUCAUGACGCUUGCGUCUUCAGGAACUCUGGUCUGUUUAAGCAGCUGCAGGAAGGGAUUUACUUCACAGACCAGAAAAUAACUGUUGGGUAUGUUGAAAUGCCUUUAGUUAUCCUUGGGGACCCAGCCUACCCCUUAAUGCCCUGGCUCAUGAAGCCGUACACAGGCACCCUGGACCGUAGUCAGGAGCUGUUCAACUAUAGGCUGAGCAAGUGCAGAAUGGUGGUAGAGUGUGCAUUUGGAUGUUUAAAGGGUCACUGGCGCAGUUUACUGACUCGCUCAGACCUCAGCGUAACCAACAUUCCCAUUGUUAUUGUUGCUUGCUGUGUGCUCCACAAUCUCUGUGAGAGUAAGAGGGAGAUGUUUAUGGUAGGGUGGGAGGUUGAUGCAAAUCGCCUGGCCGCUGAAUACGCACAGCCAGACACCAGGGCAGUUCGAAGAGCACAGCAGGAAGCGGUACGCAUCAGAGAAGCUUUGAAAACCAGUUUCAUGACUGGCCAGGGUACUGUGUGACACUUCUGUUUGUUUCUCC